UACGUAGGGGGCGAGCGUUGUCCGGAGUACUGGCGUAAAGCGCACGCAGGCGGUCUGCUAAGUUUGGAGUGACAGUUGGUGGCUUAACUGCCAAAGUGCUUCGAAAACUGACAGACUUGAGGGCUUCAGAAGGGACACGGAAUUCCGGGUGGAGUGGUGGAAAUGCGUAGAUAUCCGGAGGAACACCAAAGGCGAAGGCAGUGUCCCUGGGAAGUACCUGACGCUCAGGUGCGAAAGCUAGGGGAGCGAACAGG
rnacentral:rRNA from 1 species